CGUAUUAAGAUGACAAUAACGAUCGGAGGAGGCAACAUUUCAGAGUUCAAAAGCUAUUAUUGCGACCGGAUGCUCGCAACUAACUCUCUGAUGGCCCCCACGACCAUCACACGUAUCCUCGACGCGUGUGUACAUUGCGUUCUGAGGUGUGUUACAAAACCAUGUGUGUCCAUUUCGCGUUACGCUGCCUCGACGUGGACCUUGCACGGUGUUGACACGAGACUCGAUACCUGCGGUGGUGAACAGUGGCUGUAUUCUAAUUUCUGUCACACAGUGGCAAUGAUCUAAAUUUAAUAGAUUUAAUGUAUUAGUGAAGAUUUCGUUGACAAGUGUGUCUGUGAGACUCAUAUUUUAUACAUGAAGAUAGUCGACUGAACGUCAAUUGAGAUUUGAAGGAAUUUAGUAUAACAAUUAAGAAGUCUGCAAGCUUCGUUUAUAAGCUGGCAUAAUAAUAUUUAAGUGAGCUUAUCGCUGGGACACAAUGCGACCACGUUCGCCUGAAGCUCGACCAACACGACAGUGUCAAACUUCCACUACAGCCGAAAGCAUCCAAAACAGACUCCAAAAUCAGUGACUUAGUGAACAGUGAAUUUUGCACAUAAUUGACUCAUCGAAUUGAAAUAAAUACUUGAAUCAUUGAAAAAAGUCAUGGAGUUGGUUAAGGACAUUUUUUAGAAAUACUCUCUCCUUGACAUUCCACACAGUGCAACACAUCGUUCGCCUAAACCAGUAUUUUGUUACCAUUGAGCUCGUAAGUCACCUGCUCGUAGUUCUCUUCAUCAAUUAUUCAUGAAAGUCAAAUGUUUUUUUAUAGUCUCGUUUCACUCUUUUAACAUAUGUCCGAUUUUUGCAAUAAUCUUCAAUUUUUAUUUAGAUUAUUUCUUUGAAACGAUCGUAAAUUUUUUUUAAACGUGUGACAAAGGGUGGAGCUGAGGAUUCUUGUAGGGAUUUAAACUCUCCAAAACCUGUUUCAUCCUUUUUGGCUGCAGAUCUAUCUUUGGGUAUGGCUUUUUUUUUUUAAUGAAUCCAAGGAGGAGAAGAAUUCUUAAUAAGGAUUCACAUGUAGAAGAUUUUAGAUACGGGACGAGAGUGGAGGAGAGAAAGUUAUAAGUUGAAGUGGAUAAUUUGGUUCGAAUUAUUAUGGUGGAUUGUGUGUGACGGAUACAGUGACUGAGGCACGUGAUGAGCUUCGAGGGGACAGAAAUGUAACGCUCAGUACGAUCCAAACUGUGAUGGCGAAAUAUUCGAGUGAUUUUUAAGGAUGUAUUGGCUAUACAGAUAAUAUCAAAAGUUUAUGUACUUUAGAAAAACGCAUUUCCUGUA